rfam:Brachypodium distachyon strain Bd21 chromosome 1, whole genome shotgun sequence.
GAUACACUCCCUCCGUCCGGUGUCAAGUGACGCAACUUUGUCUAGAUACGCAUGUAUCUAAACGCAUUUUAGUGUGUAGGUACAUGCGUAUCUAGACAAAGUUGCGACACUUAAUACUGGACGGAGGGAGUACUAA